GCCUGAAUCGUCUAGUGGCCUAGGAUGCAAGCCUGUCACGCUUGUGACGCGGGUUCAAAUCCCGCUUCAGGCG
rnacentral:tRNA from 1 species